rnacentral:misc_RNA from 1 species
UCCGUGUUAACCACGGCAGUCUCCCUAGAGUGCCCAACUUAAUGCUGGCAACUAAGGACAAGGGUUGCGCUCGUUGCGGGACUUAACCCAACAUGUCACCACACGAGCUGACGACAGCCAUGCAGCACCUGUCUCUUUGUCGUAUUGCUACGAAAGCUGUAUCUCUACAGAUGUCAAAGGAUGUCAAACCCAGGUAAGGUUUUUCGCGUUGCUUCGAAUUGAACCACAUGAUCCACCGCUUGUGCGGGCCCCCGUCAAUUCCUUUGAGUUUUAACCUUGCGGCCGUAGUCCCCAGGCGGGGCACUUAAUGCGUUAGCUGCGGCACCGCAGGGGUCAAUACCCGCGACACCUAGUGCUCAUCGUUUACGGCGUGGACUAC